AGCCUCUAGCCUUUGCUAGUUGGCGGGGUGAAGCCUCUAGCCUUUGCUAGUUGGCGGGGUGAAGCCUCUAGCCUUUGCUAGUUGGCGGGGAGAAUGGAAAUCACCGCUAUCUUGUGAUAGCCUUGGGUUAAUCUUAGUUUUAACAUAAUUUUAAGUCUUAACUUGCAUGCAAUUUACUUAAUAGGUGACACUUCCCCAUCGGUAGGGGAAAUGCACAAGGUAUUUUGCAUCAAAGAGGGUGUAUCACCCUUGGAGAUGCUGGGAAGUGGAGAUAUUCUUGAGAAAUUCAAGAGUUUUUUACUUCUCUACUCUACUAAGUAUCUUUAAGAGUGAGAGACUCUCAUAGAUACUGUAGAGUACAACAUUCACGCCUGGCGGUCCUUAGUUUAGUGAUAAGUUCAAUCUAUGAUUAGCAACUAUUUAUCAUCAUUUUUUGAUACUUUAAAAUUAGAGAUAUUCUUGAGAAAUUCAAGGGUUCUCUAAUGAGUAUCAUUGAGAGUAAGAAACUCUUAUUGAUACUGUCUUGUACAAACAUACACUCCUGUUGAUUCAGGUAUUCUCUUAGUUCAGUCCAAGUUAAGAUUUGUAACUGUUUAUCUACAUUAUAUAAAAUUGCUUUGUUUUGUAAGUGCUUUACAAGUUUGUUGCAGCUUAGCCUACCAAAUGAAUCCAAGUGCACCAUUGUAGAUAUUUUUUAAAAGCAGGAUUGAUGAACAACUAAACAAACAAUAUUGUGGAGAUACAUGUGAAUUAUAAUGGAGAUGCCACCAGCUAUUCAAUGCAUUGGAGAGCAGCUCUACUACCAAAGUGGACAUGUGGAUCACUGGAUGUGCUAAGCCUACCAAAUGAAUCCAAGUGGACCAUUGUGGAUAUUUUUCAAAAGCAGGAUUGAUGAACAACUAAACAAACAAUAUUGUGGAGAUACAUGUGAAUUAUAAUGGAGAUGCCACCAGCUAUUCAAUGCAUUGGAGAGCAGCUCUACUACCAAAGUGGACAUGUGGAUCACUGGAUGUGGUAUGAGAUAUCUGGAAUUUAUAUUUUCAUUAGUCUAGACAGGAUAGAAUUCUCUAACACUUCCCUAUUCUAACACAGAUAUCAAGCUAGGGCCGGGAUGUUUAUGGUGGUUACUAUUAUGACACAGUUCAUCCCGACCCCUUCGGCAGUGCCUUGUUCUAUCCGGUUGGUUCUGAGUCCAAUGGGUGCUUUCAAGUUAGAGUCAACUGACCUGCAGAUCGCAUUUCCGCGUGCCAACAACUGGACGAACAUGUGC